AGGAGGUUGGCUUAGAAGCAGCCACCCUUUAAAGAAAGCGGAAUAGCUCACUAGUCGAGUCGGCCUGCGCGGAAGAUAUAACGGGGCUAAACUGAUAACCGAAGCUGUGGAUGCGCAUUUAUGCGCAUGGUAGAGGAGCGUUCUGUAAGCCGUUGAAGGUGAAUCGUAAGGUUUGCUGGAGGUAUCAGAAGUGCGAAUGCUGACAUGAGUAACGACAAGGGGGGUGAAAAACCUCCCCGCCGGAAGAUCAAGGUUUCCUGCGCAACGCUAAUCGGCGCAGGGUG
rnacentral:rRNA from 11 species